rnacentral:lncRNA from 1 species
ACAAUGUGAAGGGUACGAGACGGAGUGUUUCGACCGGAGGAGUACUCUUUCUCGUCGGGAUCCACCAUGUUUAGUUGUUUUAUUAUUUCUCUGUUGGGAUCUGCAGCUAUUGGGUAAGUCACCUUGUGCCCUCCCUGCAUGCAAGACAAUAUACAAAUUCCAACUAAUGAUAUUAUUUUUUUACAAAAAAUUGCAAAAAUAUAGAGACCAUUAAAUAAAAAAUUCUGGAAAAAUAAUUUAUAUGCCAUACGUACGUACAUAAUAAAAUUGGUUGUACUGAAAAUAACAAAUAGUACAUUAAAUUGAAGGCUUCAAUUAAUGUCCUUAAUCCACUCCUUGUGAGACUGAACAUCCUCACAAGAAAACCCCAACAGCUUCACUCCUCUCUGAGCAAACUUGUCGAUCAGCAUAUUGAGCCAUGGCAUGCACAAAGCUAGCUCAGUAGUACACACUGGGGUGAAAUCACCUACAAUAUAUAUCCAAAUUAAAAGCCUCCAAUUAAUAAAAUCACAGAAUCAUCGAUAUUCUUAUCAAAAAAAAGCAUGCAAGAUCUACUUACUUUAAUUAAUUUGAGGAUGAUCACCUGGGUGAGAGAAGAUAAUGGUGAAGCUAUCAUCAGCAUAGUCAUGGAGCUUUAUUUUUCGAUCCAUGGGUGGUUUCAACUUUAAGGUUUGGAAGUAAAUAAUCUCCGAUUGUAAGGCCUGGCAUUUUUCUAAAAAAAGUUGCACCAAUAUUUUUUGUUUUUUCUUGAUUUGGGUUUUGAAGUGGAUGAAGGUUAGGGGAUUUAUAAACAAGUGGUCAGUGGGUGGUUUACUACUUAUCGUGGCAUGUCUCUUAACUUUCUAAGCUUCUUCCACGUGUGAAGGCUAUUUUCUUUUUUGAGUCUUAUUCUACUAUUUAUUUCAAUUUUUGUUUUUGGUGAUUAUAAAAUUAAAAAAAUGAAUAGAAUAUAAAUAUUUGGUAAUUGUUGUUUUUUUAUAAAUCCCCUAAAAAUUUUUUACUAUAUAAUUAUAGAAUUUAUUUUUUAUACUCAUAUGAAGGAUAUUCUAACAUUAAAAAGACUUGUCAAGUUAUUUGCUUCAUUGAUUAACCUACUCUCAAAUCUAGAAAUUUCUUGGUACUCGAGCCUGCUUACAGUAUCAGGGGAUGUAGCUCACAUGGUAGAGCGCUUGCUUUGCAUGCGAGAGGUACGGGUUCGAUAACCCCGUAUCUCCAAAUAAAUUUCUUUGUUUUCAAGUACAAAUUUACCAUUAUAGUUAGGUCCAACAAUUGCCCGAUACUGAUCCAUUUUUUUAACCCUAUAAGAUCGAGUAUGAGAAAUUAAUAUUUUGUAUAUAUCUUAUUAUGUACUUAUUUAAAUUAUUUCAUUAUAAAUUCAUAACAUUUGUAAUAUAAUAUAUUGUUAGUAAUAGAAAAUAUUGUAUGUUGUUUGAUUUUGAAUUAAAAAUAAUUAUACAAAUUAAUAUAAAAAAAUUAGAGAAAAUUAAUUUGGGAAAAAAUGAGAAUAACCAAGUAAAGGGAACGGGGGCGGGACAUGUAUGGGGUCAGAGGCGGAACUAGGGGUAUUUAUUAAGUUCAGAGAGAAUUCAAUAAGUUGGCGUGUGAAUAAUUACCUUUAUUAGAUAACUUAAAUGACUUAUAAAGCCUUACAAAAACAGGAAAGAGAAAUCACCUCGCACAUAAUCAGCUUUGGUGGGUUUAACAAAACAAAUAACUAAUAGAACACUACUUUGGCAUCCCAAAUAAUAGGUCCAUCUCUGAUGCACCAACAGAACACUACUUUGGCAUCCCAAAGAAUAGGUCUUCUAUCUCUAAUGCCUACGUGGCUUAUUGUCUACGUGACUGAUCUCCAACAAUCCCUCCCUUGAACUCAUCCUCACCUGUAGGGUUAGUUCAGAACAGCACUUGCACACACACCCAGCUUGCUUCGAAGUGACAAAAAACUGUCCAACUUGAGUGGUUUGGUCAUCAAAUCUGCAAGUUGAUCUUGUGUACUGCAGUAGACCAAUUCCACAACUCCCUCCUUGGUAAGAUCCCUUAGAAAAUGAAACCUCACCCUGAUAUAUUUGGAACGCCCAUGAAGAACAGGAUUUUGGACAACUUGAUGGUAGAAGUGUUGUCACAUUUCAACAAUGUUUUUCCUUCCUGCUCAUGCCCAAUCUCCCCUAAGACUCGUCUCAUCCAUAUAGCCUGACACGCACAGGCUGUUGCUGCCACGAACUCUGCCUCCGUGGUUGAUAGAGUGACUAUGGGUUGCUUCUUCGAAAACCAUGCUACUGCUCCUCCACCCAUAAGAAAUACAUAACCUGAAGUGCUCUUGUUGUCUUCCACAUCACCAGCAUAAUCACUGUCUGUGUAUGCUUGUAAAUCAUUGGACAUUCCUCAUUUGUACAUCACCCUAUAAUCCAUUGUGCCUCUCAGAUAUCUCAUGAUUCUUUUUACUGCUGCAAAAUGUUGUUGUGUAGGACUUCCCAUAAACCUGCUAAUAAAACUUACAGCAAACAUAAGAUCUAGCCUUGUAGCUGUAAGGUACAUAAGGCUUCCUAUUAUUUGCUUGAACAGAGUUGGAUCCACCACCAAACCAUCCUUAUCUCGAUCAAUUCUCUGCCCAAAGACUAUGGGAUUACGAACAGCAUUGCAACCCAUCAUUCCAAACUUCUCCAGAAUGUCUUCAGCAUACUUCCUUUGGCAAAUGAAAAUCCCUCCAUUCUGUUGAACAACCUCAAUACCAAGGAAGAAUUUCAUCCUUCCUAGGUCUGUCAUUUCAAAUUCCUUUCUCAUGGAACUCUUAAAAUCAGCAAUCAUGUCAUCAUUAUUACUUGUAAACAGUAAGUCAUCUACAUAAACACUAACGAUGAGAAUUUUACCUUCCCUCUUCUUGAUAAACAGAGUUUGUUCACUAUUGCUGCUUGUGAAACCAUCUUGAAUGAAAUAUGUCUCUAUUCAACUAAACCAGGCUCUUGGUGCCUGCUUUAAUCCAUAAAGAGCCUUCUGCAGUUUAUAGACCAAGUGCUCACAACCCUUCUUUUCAUAACCCUGUGGUUGUGUCACAAAAACAUCCUCUUGCAGCUUCCCAUAUAGAAAGGCAGACUUUACAUCCAGCUGAUGAAUUCCCCAUCCUCUUUGAGCUGCAAAUGCAUUUAUCAUCCUCACUAUAUCCAUACGAGCAACUGGUGCAAAGACCUCUGUAUAAUCAAUCCCAUGCUGUUGAGAAUACCCUUUCACCACUAAUCUUGCUUUGAAUUGGUCAACUUCUCAUAACUCAUUUAGCUUGGUCUUAUACACCCACUUUACCCCUAUCUUCUUUGCUCCUGUAGGUAAUUCCACUAGACUCCAUGUCUGAUUUUUCUCAAUGGAAUUUAUUUCCUCAUCCAUAGCUAGCUUCCACUUCACAUUUUUAACAGCCUCUUCAUAGGUAAUGGGAUCUGACAUUACCAUCAGAGCCAGAGCCAAAAUUGUUUCAUCAUCUGACAAACCAUCAUCAGCUAGAUAAUCAGAAGACCACACUAGGGGUCGCCUGAUCUUUCCCUCCCUGGCUGUCAAAUCUUCUCCACCCACUAUUGGAACAUCUCCUUGCACAGCUGGAUCACCUUCCAUAAAUUCUUCAAUAGCAGGCUCCUCAGGAACAUUAACUUCUUCUAUGUCUUUGUGUAUAACAGUAUUCUCCUCCCAUUCCAGAUCCAUGGACUGUUCUUCUUUGUAGCUGGAGUCCCAGUCCCAUACACGAUCCUCCUCAAAUACAACAUCACGAUUGACAAUUAUUUUCUUGCUGACAGGAUCAAACAUCCUAUACCCUUUUGAUUCCUUACUCACCCCAAGCAUCGCACAUCGUAUACUUUUGUUGUCCAGUUUAGUCUUCUUGGUGUCUGGUAUGUGAACAUGGCCAACACAUCCGAACACCCUGAAAUAUUCUACUGUUGGCUUCCUUCCAUUCCAUGCCUCCUCUGGAGUCAUGUCCUUAACAGCUAGUGUUGGUGACCUGUUUAAGACAUGAUUGGUCCACUGAACCGCCUCGGGCCAGAAGGAUUUGGGGAUCUCCUUCUCAGUCAACAUGGAUCUCACCAAAUUCAUAAUGGUGCGAUUCUUCCUUUCAGCCACUCCAUUUUGUUGUGGAGUGUAAGCAACAGUGAGCUGCCUCUUGAUUCCAUGUUGGCUGUAAAACUCCUUGAAUUUUGUUAACUUGCAUUCCCCUCCUCUAUCCGUCCUUAAACAUUUUAUGAACAUAUCAGCUUCCUUUUUCACUAACAUCUUAAAAUGUUUAAAGAAAUGAAAUGUCUCUGAUUUUUCCAACAAAAAGUAUAUCCAGGUCUUCCUGGAAAAAUCAUCAAUGAAGGUCAACAAAUACCUUUUCUUGCUAUUGGAUGCUGGUGUGAUGGGACCACACAGAUCUGAAUGAAUGAGCUGCAAAUGUUCUGUGGCCCUCCAUUUGCUCUUCCUUGGCAUGGAAUUUCGAUGUUGCAUGCCUUUCAUGCAUGCCUCAUAUAUCACACCAUUGGCCUUCAGCUUGGGUAAACCAGUCACCAUAUUUUUGCUCGAAAGUGUAUUCAGCCCCCUUAUAACUGAGAUGUCCAAAACGAUGGUGCCAUAGCUCAGCUUGAUCUUCAGUGUUGAUCUUGAAACAGCUCCCUUCUCUUGAGUUGUUAUAGGUAUCAGGUGACAAAAUAAACAUCCUAUUUUCAUUCAUAAUUGACUAUGUUAUCUUUCCUUUUUGUGGAUGAAACAAACUACAUACACCACCUUUGAACAACACAUUAAUCCCUUUUUCUUGGAGUUGCCCAACACUUAGAAGAUUAUUUUUAAGCUCAGGAACCAAGUACACAUCUCCAAUCACAUAGCUAACUCCCAGUAAAACCAACCUCAUUGUUCCAUUUCCAAUAACAUUGAGUUUGGUAUUGUUCCCAAGCUUGACAGUAUGUGUAAAGCUCCUGUCUAAAUUUGUGAACAUCUCUUGAUCACCACACAUGUGGUUGGAACAACCCAAGUCAAUAAACCAUGCAUCUCUCCCUUUUUUCUUCCGGUGUUUCCACACAUGCCAUUAACAGUACAUCCUCUUCUUGCUUUUCUUCAAACUUAGCAUAAUUGGCUUCUCUUUUUCACAUUGGGCACUCAUAUUGAAAGUGACCCAAUUGAUGACACUUGUAGCAUUCAACAGUAGCUUUGCUGAAGCUUGUCCUGCCUCUCCCUCGACCUCUUCCGUUGAAAGGUGUUCAACCUCUGAAAAAUGUUCUGCCUCUGCACCCAAAGCGAUCCUCAACUUUUAAAGCAUGUUCUUCCUCUGCAGAAUCCAGCCUUCGAAACUUCUGCUCAUGCACCACCAACGAACUCUGCAACUCAUCAGUUGACAUGUUGUCCGUGUCCUGUGAUUCUUCAAUAGAAACCACCACAUAGGUGAAUCUCUCGGUGAGAGUCCGAAGAAUCUUUUCUACAAUCUUUGAAUCUGGCAUCUCUUCACCAUUGCUUCGUAUUUUAUUUGACACAGACAUCACCCAAGCAAAAUGUUCUGUAAUCGUCUCUUCUCUCUUCAUUGCCAACACCUCGAAUUCUCUUCGUAAAGAGUUCAACAGAGAUCUCUUGACUCUCUCAUUCCCUCCAAAUUUUCUCUUCAGAGAGUCCCAAAUAUCCUUGGCUGUCCUUUGAUUCAGAAUCUGCUCAAACACAGUCCGAUCAAUAGCUUGAAAGAGAUAAUGCUUCACUUGAUAAUCCCUGGUUCGCAUCUCUUCAAGUUCCUUCUUUUUAGCCUCUGUUGCUUCUGUUUCUGAUGGCUCAACAAAUCCCUCAACUACCAUAUUCCAAAGUCCCUUCGCCUUAAACAGAUUUUCCAUUAACUCACUCCAAUGAUCAUAGUGACCAUCGAACUGUGGAAUUUUUGUUAGAGUUUUAUCCUCACUCAUUGUCAAGUUUUGAAUCACUCAAAGAUUGUAGCUUUUCAACAAAACCCAGUGGGGGCUUUGAUACCAAUUUGUUAAGUUCAAAGAGAACUCAAUAACUUGGCGUGUGAAUAAUUACCUUUAUUAGAUAACUUAAAUGACUUAUAAAGCCUUACAAAAACAAGAAAGAGAAACCACCUCGCACAUAAUGGGUUUAAUCAAACAAAUAACUAACAGAACACUACUUUGGCAUCCCAAAUAAUAGGUCCAUCUCUGAUGCACUAACAGAACACUACUUUGGCAUCCCAAAGAAUAGGUCCUCUAUCUCUAAUGCCUACGUGGCUUAUUGUCUACGUAACUAAUCUCCAACAGGGUUGAGGGGGGAGGGGGGGCAUAUGACCCCCCUGGAAUCUCCGGCGGCGAGGGAGAGUUUGGAGGAGGUUGGGUUGCUGAGGCGGCAGGGGCUGAUUUACGGCUGGGGCAGGGGGGGCACGACGAAAUCUCGGGUUAUUUUCUCUACUAAUCAGAUUUGGCUGCUAUGUUACUCUUUUUUUCGCCGGAAUCUGGGCCGGCAGGGAUGGUCACAGCAUGAUUGGGUCUAAUUAUUGGUGUGUUUUGGCCAUUUUAGGUCUGUUUUCCUAAUUGUCCAGAUCUGUAAUGUUAUUGUUGUUGCUUGUUGGAUCUGAUUAGGAAUUUCGGUGCAUGACCGUGCAUCUGUUACAGCAUCUGUUCUUAGAAUGAUUUUGAUUUGCUGUUAUUUAAUAUAAUAAAAACACCUAUUUACCAGCAAGCGAACAUUUUUUUGAUGAUAAAAGAUUAGGGCUGUUGAAGUUUUCUCUCAACAAUCAAGCUUAAGGUUUUAGCUCUCUGUUUGGCCUAAAUUUGCAGAUUCUACUUUAAUGCUCUUCGGCUUGAAAAUAGCUUUGGUUUCUCCGUGAGGUAAGAUUAUUAUUUCCAUAUAAGGAACAAGUCUUUUAUUUGAUAUAUACGUGUGUGUGUAUAUAUAUAUAUAUAUAUAUAUAUAUAUAUAUAUAUAUAUUUGUGAAGCUGUUUUUGAGUAGAGAGAAAGAGGAAGAAAGGUAGCAAUCGGAGUUAUAUUACGGUCAUUCUCCGGCGAGCUGUUGGUUUGUUCCAGUAUGGGGCAGUGUGCGUUGACAUUGGGUGAAGCAAUGGGCCCACGUGAUUUCAAAAUUUAAAUUUCAAAUUUCAAAUUGCAGAUGGUGGUCACUUGCUAAUAGUUGUUAUCUAUCGGGUCCAACAUGUUUCGACCAAAUUUUCUUUCGGCCCACGUGAGCUGGGCUGAUGGUCUUAUGGACUGAUGGCCACGUGGGCUGGUCCAUACAGGAGAUGGGACUAUGUUUUGAACUUCAUUGUACUAUCUAAUUUUUGAAAAUUAAUAUACAAAUCAAAUUU